CCAGUAGUGGGUAUUCAGUUACUUACUAUUGUGUGUUGGUCGUUUACUGUGAGAAAAUUAGAGUGUUCAAAGCAGGCGUUUGCUUGAAUAGAUUAGCAUGGAAUAAUAAUUGAAGGCUUUCGUGUUCGAUUUGAUUGGUUUGUUCAUGGAAGCAAGGUUAAAAGGAACAGUUGGGGGUAUUCAUAUUCACUAGUUAGAGGUGAAAUUCUCGGAUUUAUGGAAGAUGAACAAGUGCGAAAGCAUUUACCAAGGAUGUUUUCAUUAAUCAAGAACGAAAGCUAGGGGAUCGAAGAGGAUUAGAUACCCUCGUAGUCUUAGCUAUAAACGAUACCGACUAGGGGUUAGUAGAG
rnacentral:rRNA from 1 species